UACUGCUCCGCCGAAAGAUCGGGACCCGU
rnacentral:sRNA from 1 species